rnacentral:lncRNA from 13 species
CUGGGAGUUAGCAGGACAACCCCCUAAGGGGAAGGACUGGGGGAAAUCUCUCCUCCUUUCACUGUUCCUUAAAGAGAGCACCCCUGCCAUCUCCCAUUGCAUCAGAUGCUGGAAGGCAGUGGCAGCCGGGCACCUAACAGAGGAAGACGAUGCAGAGCUGGUGACCAGGGAGGGAGCUACAAGAGGGAAUGGGGUGUCUUCAGCGGGAGACUGGAGGAAACAGAAGGGCUUCAAGACCAUCCAUGCCACUGGAGUAGGCUCGGAGGCAGUGGCUGUGCUGUGUGAAAUGAACGAUUCACUCAAGAGGAAAUAUGAUUUAUCUCUCGUUUGUGGAGCUAGUCAGCAGAGGAAUGGAGUGCCCAACUGA